UUGUGGAAUCAUGGCUUCAGGAUUGAACGCUGCGGCGGCCCAGGCUUAAGACACAUGCACAAGUCGAGCGGCCAAAGCGAUCCAUAGCUUGCUAGGUGAGGCGUCGCGAGCGGCGCUGACGGGUUCGAGUAAUCAGCCAUGGCGAAUUCUGCCUGGGCCUUGAAGUGGGGGACAACAGUUGGAAACGCAUGCUAAUACCGCAUACGCCCUAAGGGGGAAAGCAGGGGAUCUUCGGACCUUGCGCUAUUGGAGAAGCCUGCGUCGGAUUAGCUAGUUGGUGGGGUAAAGGCCCACCAAGGCGACGAUCCGUAGCUGGUCUGAGAGGAUGAUCAGCCACACUGGGACUGAGACACGGCCCAGACUCCUACGGGAGGCAGCAGUGGGGAAUAUUGGACAAUGGGCGAAAGCCUGAUCCAGCCAUGCCGCGUGUGUGAAGAAGGCCUUAGGGUUGUAAAGCACUUUCAGUAGGGAGGAAAAGUUAGUCGUUAAUAACGGCUAACCCUGACGUUACCUACAGAAGAAGCACCGGCAAACUCCGUGCCAGCAGCCGCGGUAAUACGGAGGGUGCGAGCGUUAAUCGGAAUUACUGGGCGUAAAGCGCGCGUAGGCGGCUUGUUAAGCCAGAUGUGAAAGCCCCGGGCUCAACCUGGGAACUGCAUUUGGAACUGACUGACUAGAGUACGAUAGAGGGGGGUAGAAUUUCAGGUGUAGCGGUGAAAUGCGUAGAGAUCUGAAGGAAUACCAGUGGCGAAGGCGGCCCCCUGGAUUGAUACUGACACUGAGGUGCGAAAGCGUGGGGAGCGAACAGGAUUAGAUACCCUGGUAGUCCACGCCGUAAACGAUGUCAACUAGCCGUUGGAGUCCUUGAGGCUUUAGUGGCGCAGCUAACGCAAUAAGUUGACCGCCUGGGGAGUACGGCCGCAAGGUUAAAACUCAAAUGAAUUGACGGGGGCCCGCACAAGCGGUGGAGCAUGUGGUUUAAUUCGAUGCAACGCGAAGAACCUUACCUACUCUUGACAUCCAGAAGAUUUAGCAGAGAUGCUUUAGUGCCUUCGGGAAUUCUGAGACAGGUGCUGCAUGGCUGUCGUCAGCUCGUGUUGUGAAAUGUUGGGUUAAGUCCCGUAACGAGCGCAACCCUUGUCCUUAUUUGCCAGCACGUAAUGGUGGGAACUUUAAGGAGACUGCCGGUGACAAACCGGAGGAAGGUGGGGACGACGUCAAGUCAUCAUGGCCCUUAUGAGUAGGGCUACACACGUGCUACAAUGGCCGGUACAGAGGGUAGCAAGACCGCGAGGUGGAGCAAAUCCCAGAAAGCUGGUAGUAGUCCGGAUUGGAGUCUGCAACUCGACUCCAUGAAGUCGGAAUCGCUAGUAAUCGCG
rnacentral:rRNA from 1 species